rnacentral:rRNA from 1 species
AGCAGCCGCGGUAAUUCCAGCUCCAAUAGCGUAUAUUAAAGUUGUUGCAGUUAAAAAGCUCGUAGUUGAAUUUCGGGAUUCAUCCGUUGGUCGGGCUUCACGGUCCGUACUGGUGUGAUGGGUUCCUACCUUCUGAAUAACCGGCAUGCCAUUAAUUUGGUGCGCCGGGGAAGCAGAACUAUUACCUUGAAAAAAUUAGAGUGCUUAAAGCAGGCAAGUGCCUGAAUAGGUUAGCAUGGAAUAAUAAAAUAGGACGGCAUGGUUCUAUUUUGUUGGUUUCUAGGAUCACCGUAAUGAUUAAUAGGGAUAGUUGGGGGCAUUAGUAUUCAAUUGUCAGAGGUGAAAUUCUUGGAUUUAUUGAAGACUAACUUCUGCGAAAGCAUUUGCCAAGGAUGUUUUCAUUAAUCAAGAACGAAAGUUAGGGGAUCGAAGACGAUCAGAUACCGUCGUAGUCUUAACCAUAAACUAUGCCGACUAGGGAUCGGACGAUGUUAAUUUUUUAAUGACUCGUUCGGCGCCUUACG